rnacentral:tRNA from 1 species
UCCCUGUUGGCUCAGAUGGUAAGGUGCUUGUUUGCAAUGCAGGAGACCUGGGUUCAACCCCUGGGUUGGGAA